UUAGCUGGAUCUGUGCUAUGCUCCCGUCCCCGUCUCCGCAAAAAAAUAGGGCUCCACGCGGCGGUCGAUACAGAGGAGGGGAUCGGUCAUCGGUGAUAGACGGAUCGAGGCGUGCAUGAUGCAACGCGGUCCAUCGAUCCAGCCGACGCGCGCACACUACGGCCAAUGCGGUCGAUCGUCUGCGAGGGGAUCGAGCUGUCGUGGGAGAGGGUAUCCAGCCGAUGCACGCGUUGCAGGCAGCUCAGUGGGCGCUCGAUCCAGCUGACGCACACAUUGCGGACGGCUUGGUGGGCGCUUGAUCCAGUCGACGCCGUCAAUUGGGCUUCUUGGGAGAAAGGGAAGGGACGUGAGUGACAUCUUAGCUGAUCAAAACUGUUCCGCGAGACUUGAUAGACGCAAUAGUACUUCAGUUUCAGAGCGCACAUUCAUGGUUGCUGAUGUGCCGAUCCUUCACGCUGCCGAGGGGUACAGAGGUACGUCUAUAUAUGCUUCCUCCCCUAUCACUCUUCGCUCACCCUCUCCACUCUCGGUAGCAUAACAUAUUUGAGCAUGAUGCUCGGGUAGGUUUCCUUUUUUCAGUUCAUGUAAGAUUCAUUUCCAAGCAAUUACAUUAUUCUGGCAUCCUCUCAUACCAACAAUUCUAAUUAUAGUUAUAGGUGAUGUUUAGGCUGCCUGUAAUCGAUUUAUUUGGGUGAAUCUUGGAGCUUGGUAUUCGGAUUUUUUUUUGUUCGGCAGUUCAUAAUAAAUGGCUUUUGGAUAGGUUCUUCUUAAUAGUCGAAAACAGAGAUAAAAAACAAUUGUGGGAUUAUCAUCCAUUUUGAACCAAUGUUUGUACUACAAUGCAAGUUUGAACUUGUACUUGAAAGAUGAGAAGGUGCACGCAGUCGUCAAAGCGAUCUCAUUUUUUCAGUGUUGUACAAUGUCCUUGAGUUUUGUAGUCAAUGAUCUCAUUUUUUCAGUCUUCAGCUUUCAUUGAUUGAUCAAGAAAGAAUGUUCAUUGUUAACUUGCAAAUAUAUUGUAAGAUGUUAUGAAAUCAACAAGUUGACAAUCUUAUGUAUUAA